GUGGGGAAUAUUGGACAAUGGGGGGAACCCUGAUCCAGCCAUGCCGCGUGUGUGAAGAAGGCCUUUUGGUUGUAAAGCACUUUAAGCGAGGAGGAGGCUACCGAGAUUAAUACUCUUGGUUAGUGGACGUUACUCGCAGAAUAAGCACCGGCUAACUCUGUGCCAGCAGCCGCGGUAAUACAGAGGGUGCAAGCGUUAAUCGGAUUUACUGGGCGUAAAGCGCGCGUAGGUGGCCAAUUAAGUCAAAUGUGAAAUCCCCGAGCUUAACUUGGGAAUUGCAUUCGAUACUGGUUGGCUAGAGUAUGGGAGAGGAUGGUAGAAUUCCAGGUGUAGCGGUGAAAUGCGUAGAGAUCUGGAGGAAUACCGAUGGCGAAGGCAGCCAUCUGGCCUAAUACUGACACUGAGGUGCGAAAGCAUGGGGAGCAAACAGGAUUAGAAACCCGUGUAGUCC
rnacentral:rRNA from 1 species